AUUUAUUUAGUUUAAAUAAAACAUUUCAUUUUCAAUGAAAAAAUGAGUUUUACUCAAUAAAUA
rnacentral:tRNA from 1 species